UUUUUUUAUCUUAUAGAACCACCACAACCUUAUAGGCUAGCCUAGACCCAAUUAGGAUUUCACUCUUACACGUGGGUGCAUCUGUGGACCUUCAGAGCUGCCUUGGUUACAAUUGGGUUCGAUUACCCUCUCCAUAGUCCCAUUUUGGUAUGAUCAGAUACGGGUAUCAGUUUGAGUAUACAUGGGCUAUAUGCUUGAUUACCUUUUAGUCGAUUUCUACGGAGUUACCCUUGUACAGCGUCUCAUCUAGUGUUUCCGUGUUUAUAGGAGUAUUUUUUUUUGUGCCCAG
rnacentral:lncRNA from 1 species